AAAAGUCGAAACUUCAACAUUGUUUUCAAAGUUCAGCAAUGGCAUCAGGAAACUGCGUAGAUAGCUUCCUCUCUGCAUGCGGAUGUUUCUGGACUUGUCUUUUUUCAUGUUUAACAUGUGGAUUGUGUAGGGACAAUUCAAACGGAUGUCAUGGAAUAUCGUGCGAUUGUAAUUAAUAGAGUUGAUGGUAGACGAGCAUGGAGGGACGAAGGUUUACACAUUUAAAUACUGAUUUGGCAUGUGGAAGAAGCGGCAUAACUAAUCAUCAUCUAAAUAGGAUUCGUCGGAACCUGGCAAAUUCUGAGGGUAAAAUACCAUUCUCAAGUAUGAUACCAACACUGUUUCAUAUCACCCGGCCAUAGUAAAGAGACAAGAAUAUAGUUUUUGAACGUGAAGAACUAAAACAGAACUAAACUAAAACAUAACCGUUAUGCAACCUAACCAGCUGUAUCUAGAGCUAGAACUCGACAAACUGUUUGGAACAUAACGUUUACAAGAAUACUAAGAAAGUGAGGAUGGAAUAAUUUUCGAAGGGCUCAAUCUCUACAGCAGCUGUUUAUGAAGUGCUCGUCAGAAGACCGUCAACUGCAUUUCAUCGUUCAUCAAGAAGAUCUCGUAAAUCCCAGUCGUCUUUAAGGCGCCUACUGUCUACAUAUCAAUCAUUGCUUACAUAUGUAUUUCAUUUUUUUCUUAUCAUUUCAACCGCCUGAUAACUAAUAUUAAGGAGGCUUUAUGAAUAUGAAAAUUGUUCGGUAGAAAAACAAUAGGAAUUUCUAUCUUAUGAAAAUUUCGUUUGAUAAUUUUAUUUUGAGUCUAAGACGUGCAAGCCUGCAAAUAGUGUAACAAUUAAUGCUUCAUUUUAUACAUUUCAAUCCAACUAGACAAAAAAUAACAUUGUAGAUGAAAAUGACCAAAUCGGAAACGGAUACUGGUAUCAUAGUAUUAACAAAUUCAUCUUUAGCAAACAUAUUGUAUGUACGUUGUGUGAUUUCAUUGUUCGAUGUGACUGCAUGGAAUAUAGGGAAUACUUGUUGAUUUUUCGUACUGAUGUAAAAGAAUAUGUAAAAACUUUCCAACAAAAUUUAUCAUUUUCAUAUUGAUAAUGUAUGAAAGACAUAUUACAUUUUUUAUCAUAAGACCGAAAACAGUAGAACAUUUCUGUCUGCAAUAAAUAAAACCAACUCAUAAUUACAGUGUUCUUUUAAACCGAAAUCUUAUAUUAUAGCAGUUUCAUUUAUUGGAAAAUUAACUUUAACACUUUUUUUUCAUCAGGUUCAUAAUUGGAUUAGUUAUGCUUAAUUUUCAAUGCUUUUCUAAAAAUAUUUUUGUUCUUAAACUUAUUUGAUGAAUUAUUUAUGUUUUCUAUGUCUUUUAAAUCUGAUAAGAAUAAAUUGUGAUUGACUUUAAUUUAAUACACAAAUAUAAGAAUUAAUUUCCACUAAAUGUUCAUGCAUGAAAGAGUUACCUCUCUUGAGACUAUUAACAGAUUCGAUUACAGCACAUGUUUUAUAUGUCUUAUUUAAGGAUCUCCGUUCCAUUGUCAAAACGUUCAAUAAGCAAAAGUAACUGUUGGCUUUGAUAAAUUAUAUCUGCAAAGAAAAUUAAACCUUGCAGGUGUUUUUUUUUAAAAAAACAAACCAGAAUUUUAAAGGCGAAAUUAACAAAAUAUUAUCAACUGUGUGUAAAAAUUGCAAAGUUGUUUGAACCCUGGACCUCAAAUUGUUAAACUAUCGCUCUGACUAAUAGAGCUACAUGUACCAGUAUGUUGCCAGCAGUGGAACAGUUAUCCUUAAGAAGAUUUUCUACAGAACACUUUUCGAAGAUUGCUGAAAUGAACUUAUCAAAAGACUUCUAUUCCUGACAAACAAAAUAAUUCCUAAUAUAUUAGAAAAUAAAAAGAUUUCUUACAACUUAAAGAUAAACUUCGAAAUGUUUCUUUAAUAAGGAUUGGAUGUUAUGAUAAGGUUGAAUGUCACAUUUUGAGCAAGAAAUCUGAAAAAGAAUAACUUUUCUUUCUAAAAGGAAAUUCAAAUGCUUAAAUCGGAAAAGAGAAGACUGUCAUCAACAAUUGGGCACUAGCAAUCAGAGAGAGAAAAAAAUAUAGGAAAUGAAACGAUUUAUUAAUUUUAUAUUAAUUUUUAUAAGAUUAAUUGAUUAAUUGAAUUUAUGAGUGACUGAUGUGCCGUUAUCUCAUUUGUUUAUUAGUUAAGUACAUUCCCUUUCUCAAUAUUCAUUUGUGUGUCUGGCUAAUAAAAGUUCAUUCUUCAUUUCAAAA